rnacentral:lncRNA from 1 species
CGUAUUAUAUAUUUUUUGUGAGAAGGAAUGCAUAAAGGACAUGAAUCUCAUAGGAAGAAUGCAUUCACCAUUGUAGGAUCAAAGUUUACUCAGUUUGGGCAACUAAUUUCUCAUAUUCAUGCACCGCUCUAUUUUGUAAAUCAAACUAAUGACAGAUGCCAUAAUUAUCUAGCUAUUGGUGUCAAUUCAAAAAAAAAAAAAAAAGAAACUCUAGAUUUUUUUGCCUUUAUUUAUUUUUUCUUUUUUUUUUUGAAAACAAAGCCUUGCUUAAAGAAGGAAAGCCAAGUUAGUAUAGGUUUCCUCAAUUUAAAUCUUGGUUGAAUUUGUUUCUUCAGAUGGCUUUGUUACCUGAAGGUAUCACUGAAUUAUUGCAUCAUGAAAAGCUACUUGUUCCGAUGGUACGUGUUUGGAGCUAAAUUUUUGGCAUUUAAUAUGUGGUUCUUACUCCUUUUCUUAAAUAAUUGAAUUGAUAUGAUUCAUGAGGUUCUAGCCUGAAUUACUAGCAACUAAUGGUCUUUGCAGAUUAAGUGCCAAAAUGUAAUUAUUCUUGCGGCAACAGACAGUGCUGAGCUGGACAAGGAAUGGGAGUGUUUGACUGAACUAGGAAAAUCAUAUGGUCUGUUAGCUAUAGGGGAACCAUUUAUAUCAAGACGCUUAACAACAAAUCUUUCAGACGUACGUAUGAGGAUUUCAUAUUUUGUACUUUUCAGCUUUGGCACUUCAACUAUCUUGCCUUGUUGGUUAUAAGUGGUAGAUCUGAAGCUGUUUGCUUGCAUUAUCAACUUGUAUAAUAUUUGUGCAAUGAACUGCAGGUAGAAAUUGCUCAACCCCUAUCAAAACUUUGUCUUGAAUUUCCUGAUGUUAGUAUUGGUAUGUUCCCCUAAAAUUAUUACGUCUCAUUUCUGAAUACAAUGUCUCCCUCCCAUUCAAAACGUUUUUUUAUGUUCCUUUUGCAAUUUGAAGGGGCUUACCGCAAAUGCAGAAGAAAUGGGUCUCUAAUAAUUAAUUUUAAAGGAAAGGUAAAAAUAUAUCCAACUUACAUUUAACUUUCAUUUACAAGUUGUUCUUGUAACUAUAAGUGCUUAACAAAACUGGUUGCAGAAGCGUGCGCGGAUUGAUUUAGCUGUAGAAGCAUUAUGCAAGAUGUUCCCUUCAAUAGCAUUUACAGAAGUUAACUAAGUUGGUGGUUCUGCUUAUCUUCGAAUUGUUGAUUUUGAAGCUUCAGAGGCCGAAAGCUUAUUUCAUGUUUUCAUACUGGUUGUUCACAGCACGCAUGGAGCAGGAUGCAUCAUACGAGAUGCUGCAUCCGAAGGUAUUUAUUUUUUUUAGUAGAAGAAAAANNNNNNNNNNNNNNNNNNNNNNNNNNNNNNNNAAAAACUGAGGUAAAACCAAGUUGCUGGUGGUUCUGCUCACCUUGGCAUUGGAGCUUUAGAAACUGUAGAAGCUAAUGGCUUAUUCAGUAUUUGUACUGCUCUGCUACAUUAUGGCGUAGGAGGUCGUCUUGUAGUUGAUCUGAAAAUAAUUGGUUUCCAAACCUGGCUGAACCUAUAAACUGGUCCUGGUAUUGGGUCUGAAAUUUAAAAUUUAAUAUAUACAAUGCAUUAUUUCGAGUCUGUGCCACAAGUAAUUUUAGCAAAAAAAAAUAUAUAUAUAUAUUGAAAUAAAUAGAUGUUAUUAAAUUUUAUAACCAAAAAAGAUGGG